rnacentral:rRNA from 1 species
UACGUAGGGGGCAAGCGUUGUCCGGAAUCAUUGGGCGUAAAGAGCGUGUAGGCGGCCAGAAAGUCCGCUGUGAAAACUCGGAGGCUCAACUUCGAGCGUGUCGGUGAAACUUCUGGCUAGAGUCCGGGAAGAGGAGAAUGGAAGUACCUGGUGGUAGCGGUGAAAUGCGCAGAUAUCAGGAGGAACACCGGUGGCGAAGGCGGGUCUCUGGCGUAACUGGACGACUGAGGAGCGAAGACUGGGGAGCGAACAGG